rnacentral:rRNA from 1 species
CCUACGGGUGGCUGCAGUGGGGGAUAUUGCACAAUGGGGGAAACCCUGAUGCAGCGACGCCGCGUGGGUGAAGAAGCGCCUCGGCGCGUAAAGCCCUGUCAGCGGGGAAGAAAGUGACGGUAACUGAAGGAGAAGCCCCGGCUAACUACGUGCCAGCAGCCGCGGUAUUACUUAGGGGGCAAGCGUUAUCCGGAUUUACUGGGUGUAAGGGUGUCGCGGACGGUGUUGCAAGCAAGGAGUGAAAGCCCGGGGCCCAACCCCGGGACUGCUCUUGGAACUGCGUGGCUAGAGUGCAGGAGUGGCAGGCGGAAUUCCUGGUGUAGCGGUGAAAUGCGUAGAUAUCAGGAGGAACACCGGUGGCGAAGGCGGCCUGCUGGACUGCAACUGACGUUGAGGCCCGAAAGCGUGGGGAGCAAACAGGAUUAGAUACCCCGGUAGUC